rnacentral:rRNA from 1 species
AGGGGGGGGGCGUGCUAAUACAUGCAAGUCGAGCGGACCGACGGGAGCUUGCUCCCUUAGGUCAGCGGCGGACGGGUGAGUAACACGUGGGUAACCUGCCUGUAAGACUGGGAUAACUCCGGGAAACCGGGGCUAAUACCGGAUGCUUGAUUGAACCGCAUGGUUCAAUCAUAAAAGGUGGCUUUUAGCUACCACUUACAGAUGGACCCGCGGCGCAUUAGCUAGUUGGUGAGGUAACGGCUCACCAAGGCGACGAUGCGUAGCCGACCUGAGAGGGUGAUCGGCCACACUGGGACUGAGACACGGCCCAGACUCCUACGGGAGGCAGCAGUAGGGAAUCUUCCGCAAUGGACGAAAGUCUGACGGAGCAACGCCGCGUGAGUGAUGAAGGUUUUCGGAUCGUAAAACUCUGUUGUUAGGGAAGAACAAGUACCGUUCGAAUAGGGCGGUACCUUGACGGUACCUAACCAGAAAGCCACGGCUAACUACGUGCCAGCAGCCGCGGUAAUACGUAGGUGGCAAGCGUUGUCCGGAAUUAUUGGGCGUAAAGCGCGCGCAGGCGGUUUCUUAAGUCUGAUGUGAAAGCCCCCGGCUCAACCGGGGAGGGUCAUUGGAAACUGGGGAACUUGAGUGCAGAAGAGGAGAGUGGAAUUCCACGUGUAGCGGUGAAAUGCGUAGAGAUGUGGAGGAACACCAGUGGCGAAGGCGACUCUCUGGUCUGUAACUGACGCUGAGGCGCGAAAGCGUGGGGAGCGAACAGGAUUAGAUACCCUGGUAGUCCACGCCGUAAACGAUGAGUGCUAAGUGUUAGAGGGUUUCCGCCCUUUAGUGCUGCAGCAAACGCAUUAAGCACUCCGCCUGGGGAGUACGGUCGCAAGACUGAAACUCAAAGGAAUUGACGGGGGCCCGCACAAGCGGUGGAACAUGUGGUUUAAUUCGAAGCAACGCGAAGAACCUUACCAGGUCUUGACAUCCUCUGACAACCCUAGAGAUAGGGCUU